AUGAAGCGCGUAGUGGGGAGCCUGGGGACAUGGAGCGGCAUGGCGCUGCGGCUGUCGCAGUGCGUCUUCGCCGCCGCGUCCGUCCUCGCCAUGGUCUCCGGCAUCGGCACCCGCUUCCCCAACCACGGCGCCUACUUGUACUACUCCCUCCUCCCUACUACUAAUCUCAUCCCCCCCGCAAAUGCUAAUUCUUUUUUCCCUAGAAUGUCCCCGCUCUUUGUGUUUUUUCUGGCAAAUCCAUCAGCAUCACUCAAGUACGUAGCUAUCUGA
rnacentral:rRNA from 1 species